rnacentral:ncRNA from 1 species
UCAACGGCUGUGAACGGAAGGAGUACCGUCAUCAUACCUUGCAGAGAGUUCCGUACUGGUGGAAACGGGACAGGUCAGGGGCGGGAAGGUAGUCCGGGAGCCGGUCGGGUGAACAAGCCGGACAGUUUCGGCAGUAGCCUGAUCCGUUUGCCGCGUUAUGGCCAGAGGCAGGACUUUACAGACAGUUCUGUAAACAAGGGUGGUACCACGUGAUCAUGCGUCCUUUUC